rnacentral:rRNA from 1 species
AGAAUCAACGCUGGCGGCGUGCCUAACACAUGCAAGUCGAACGAGAAAGUGGAGCAAUCCAUGAGUAAAGUGGCGACCGGGUGAGUAACACGUGACUAACCUACCUUCGAGUGGGGGAUAACCUCGGGAAACCGGGGCUAAUACCGCAUAAUAUCCACGGAUCAAAGGAGCAAUUCGCUUGAAGAGGGGGUCGCGGCUGAUUAGUUAGUUGGCGGGUAAUGGCCCACAAGACAAUGAUCGGUAGCC